GCCAUUGUAUUUUGAAUCACUAACGCAAUAUUUAAAUUGAACUGCAUUUAGAGCAUUAAUAUAUUUUACUUGGAAAUCCAUCUUUUUCAAUUUAUAAAAUGUUUUGCUUUUUUCAAAUAUGUGAUUUCAUAUGAAAACAACAUGAUGAUGUGAAAGAAGUGGCUCAUAUUAAAUAUUAAUGAACCAGCAAAGAAUUGGCACCUGAAUCUGAGGCUCUCCCCGGCUUUACAUUUACAGUAAAUGUUUUAGUUCUCUCUGUGCUCUCAUGGCUGUUUUUUUUGCAGCUGUUUUCAUCAAAAACCCACUGUAUACCUGCACCUCAGCAGCAACAGCAGACAGAUGUAGUUAGUGAUCAGCUGAUUGCGUGCGUGCGUGCGUGCGUGCGUGCGUGCGUGCGUGGCUCAGAUGCAGUAGAGAUGUUCCCUCUGGUCAGAUCUCACCGCUGAGCUGAGUUGUGUGUUUUGCAUAUGGUGCCUCAGCUGGAGGCACCAUAUUUCCUUUACUCUGCUUGAUGUUGUUUGAAUGUUCAUUUUUACUGUAUGUCUUGGCGAGCCAAAGAAAAAUUUCCAUCUCGGUGGACAAUAAAGAUUUAUUCAUUCAUUCA